rnacentral:rRNA from 1 species
GACGUAGGGGGCCAGCGUUGCUCGGAAUUACUGGGCGUAAAGGGUUCGUAGGCGGUGCGGUAAGUCGGAAGUGAAAUCUCUGGGCUUAACUGCAGAGGCUGCUUUCGAAACUGCCGUGCUGGAGUGCGGGAGAGGCGAGUGGAAUUGCAGGUGUAGCGGUGAAAUGCGUAGAUAUCUGCAGGAACACCCGUGGCGAAGGCGGCUCGCUGGACCGCAACUGACGCUGAGGAACGAAAGCUAGGGGAGCAAACAGG